UAUUAUAAUAUGUGCAGGCUACUACAUAAAUAUAAAGGAGUAGUGUAUUAAAAAGUAAAAGGUUAUGCAAGCGAAGUAAACAAAAUCUUUCCCUCAAACAAUUCGAUGUCCUUGAGUGAAACAAACUACAGUAAAGAGAAAAAGCAGGGGGAUAUCCCGGCUCCGACGAAUUGGAUGCCACUAGAAUUUUGAGCAAAUCCUAAAGGGUGGUCAUACUUCAAUUCAAAUUUCAACCCUAUAACAAAGCCCUAAAGGCUCUCAAGCUUAUUAGCUAUUUAAUUUGUUUUUAAUUUUAAACCACGUAUAACUUUUAAAGUAAAAAAUAAUAUGUACUG